UACGUAGGGCGCAAGCGUUGUUCGGAAUUACUGGGCGUAAAGGGCGCGUAGGCGGUUUAACAAGUCUGUUGUGAAAAUCCCGGGGCUUAACUCCGGACGUGCAGUGGAAACUGUUAGACUUGAGUGCAGUAGAGGUUGGUGGAAUUCCCAGUGUAGAGGUGAAAUUCGUAGAUAUUGGGAGGAACACCGGUGGCGAAGGCGGCCAACUGGACUGCAACUGACGCUGAGGUGCGAAAGCGUGGGGAUCAAACAGG
rnacentral:rRNA from 1 species